GACGAACGCUGGCGGCGUGCUUAACACAUGCAAGUCGAGCGGUAAGGCCCUUUCGGGGGUACGACGAGCGGCGAACGGGUGAGUAACACGUGGGUGACCUGCCCUUAGCUCUGGGAUAAGCCUGGGAAACGUGGGUCUAAUACCGGAUAUGACUCCAUGACGCAUGUUGUGGGGUGGAAAGCCUUGUGCGGCUAGGGAUGGGCCCGCGGCCUAUCAGCUUGUUGGUGGGGUGAUGGCCACCAAGGCGACGACGGGUAGCCGGCCUGAGAGGGCGACCGGCCACACUGGGACUGAGACACGGCCCAGACUCCUACGGGAGGCAGCAGGUGGGGAAUCUUGCGCAAUGGGCGAAAGCCUGACGCAGCGACGCCGCGUGAGGGA
rnacentral:rRNA from 1 species